ACGGAAGGUGCAAGCGUUGCUCGGAAUCACUGGGCGUAAAGGGUGCGUAGGCGGCCGCGCAAGUCUGGCGUGAAAGCCCCGGGCUCAGCCCGGGAAGGGCGCUCGAAACGGCGCGGCUCGAGUGCCGGAGGGGAGAGUGGAAUUCCUGGUGUAGCGGUGAAAUGCGUAGAUAUCUGGAGGAACACCGGUGGCGAAGGCGGCAUCCUGGACCGGCAUUGACGCUGAGGCGCGAAAGCCAGGGGAGCAAACGGGA
rnacentral:rRNA from 1 species